rnacentral:lncRNA from 1 species
UUAAUUAUUUAGUCAUUUCAACAAAUAUCUAGAACGGAUAGCAGAGCAUCUAAGCAAUAAGAACUAAAAAGAUGAUACAUUUAUCUAAAAAUAUGAAAAUUGAAUUUUGGGAUCGAUUAUGUUUGCCAAAAGAGAGGGUCAGAAUUAGUGUAUUUUGAGCAAAUAAACAUAGGUACCAAAUAGAAUCUCAUAUAGUAUCGUGUGUAGUCGAUAAAUGGUAAAGACUUUUGUAAGCAGACCAAUUUGCCCGGCCCAUUGCAAACACAAAACAAUAAAUAUAAAACCCAAAUAAAACUUAAAUCCUAUAACAGUCCAUUUACAGGUUUUGACCCAAACUAAUACCCUAUACAAGCCCAAAUCAACCCAUUUACAAAUAAGCCCGAGCCCAAAUACAAUAGGCCUAAGUGGCCCAAAAUUUAAAGCAAGCAAAAAACUCUAGCCUAAUGCUUGCGCCGCAACCGGACAAUGCCUCCAUACGAUGCCAACGUCUCAACCCCAACGCCGCUCGUGCCUCUACGUCGACAGCCCCGUACGCCACCCUCACGCCUAGUGCCAGCACACGCCCCGUACCUGCGAAAGAGAACAAGAGAAUAGCAGUAGAAUAGCAGCCAAUAGGAGAACAAAAAUUGUUGUUUUUUUUUGUUUUGUUAUUCAGCUAUAAAGCCUUUCAUUUUCGAUUGUAAGGGCUCCUCUUUUUUACGAACAUAAGCAAUACAAAGCAACAGAGAGAAAAUGUGAUUUCUACUCUUGAGUUUCUGGGUUUAUCACGCUUUAUUCUCGAUUUAUUCCCUUUGAUUUUCUUUCUCUUUUCUUGUAUCUAAAAAUAAAAGAAUAAAGGGAAACAAGACCUUACCUUGUAAGUUAGCCAUCGUUUCCCCUUCGCUUCGUUGAAAUCGAAGUCCAAAUGGGGUCUCAAGGCUGAAAAAUCACUCCUUUGGAGUUCGAAUGCGCAGAUCGCCGUUCAUGGUGGCGCAUAAAUGACGAAGGGAGAAUUCUGGGGGUUAAAAGGACAGCAAAAGGGGGUAGGCUAAUGUCCUGCUAGGGUUCGGCUGAAUGAAUCCACAUUUAGCCUUUUAAAGAAGCAAAAACGGCGCCGUUUAGGCCAAAUGUAAUGGCCAAAAAACAACGUCGUUUGAAACUAUGCCCGGUGACCCGACCCAAUGGCCCCUGGGAUCCGCGCGUUUUCGCGGUGAGGGGUUAAUUGCGCAUUAAAUCCCUUCCCUUUUGCGCCGCGUUUAAAUCAGCCCACCUGUGCUUCUUUUUGUUUUGUUUUUUUAAUUUUCUCCUAUAAUUUGCGCUAUUUUGCAAUCGAGUCCGCGCUUGUGCGCAGCGUUUUAGGACCUGGAUUAAUUCUAGCUUGAGCCCCUAUGUUUUGUGCGCUUCGCACUUCGGUCCUCUUUUUGUUUUGUUUUCAAAUUAUCUUUUUGUUUUGGAUUGAUUCUAAUUAAAUCCCUUUAGUUUAUAGUCCUAUUUUGUUCUUAAUUUAUUAUUUUUAAUUUUUAAACAACUUUAGGGAAUUGUUAUUUCAUUAUUGUAAAUCAUUUUUUUGAUGUUAAUAUCACACUUUGUAUACUUUAAAUGAUUAUCUCCUUUAUAUUAUUAUACAUAUACACAUUUUGUAGCAAAGUUAACGUAUUUUCACGCAUAUAAUAUUUUUUAUUUUUUUAUUUUAACCAUGUAUUUUAACAUAUAAUUUCGUUAUGAUAAUAUGUUUUGUAUAAAAUUAUUUUCAUAUACUUAUUUAUAUUAGUACAUAUAUUUGAUUUAUAUACAUUAAUUUAAUCCUAUACAUAUUACCGUUUUUAUGUUAUUUUGCAUGUACUCACUUUUUAAUUUAUAUGUAUAUAUAUAUUAAUACACUCAUUACUCUAAUAGAUUUUUCUACUCAAAACACUUUUGCUUUAUGAUUUCUCAAGUAUUUUCUUUAUAUAUAUGUAUAUGGAAUAAUUUUAGAAACCUCAUUUUUGUAAUUAUAAAAUUAUUAUUUUUGGAUGUUCCUUUGUAUUAAAUUACUUUGUGUUUUAUAUAGCCCCUUAUUUAAACAUUUUGAUAUAAAGGUAUGUAUAUAAUUUUUAGACUAACUUAAAGUUUUUAUAUAUUAUUAUUAAUCUAAUGAUUAUUUUCAAAGCUAUUUAUAUGUACAUAUGUUUUAUGAAUAUAUUUUGUGUAUUAUGUUUUGUUAUAUAUCUUCAUUAUUCUUCUGUAUUAUAUACUAUGUAAAUUAUCAUGUACUUUGUCAACUUCUAAAUGAAUUUGUGCCUAAAAUAUUUCACACGCAAUUUGAUUUAAACUCUCGUUCUGAUAUCUAUUUCAAAAAAUAUAUAUUUAUCCCUAGUUUUUUUUUUCAUAUACAAAUUUGUCAACCUAUAUUUUAUGCAUCCAUUUAUGCGUCGUUACUUUAAAAUAGUUUUAUACCUCAUUACUUCUUUGAUUUGCAUUUUGUUUUGUGUAUCUCAUAUUAUGUCAUGCACAUUGUCGCUGCAUAUUGUAUUCAUUGUUUUAUAUUGUCAUGUUAAUUAUAUUCCAUGCAUGAUUGAAAUUGAAUAAUAUUUCCAAGCUAGAUAUGCUUAGUCAUUUAAGUUCUCGUUAGUUGGUUAAAUAACUUGUAUUGCCUCCACUCUUCUAUUGUCGUGUUUUAUGCGUACACAUAUUCCCCAAAUCAUGGUUUUCCACUUGAUUUUUGAAAUGUGGUUUUAUAAAAAGCAAAUUUUAUGAUUAAUUUCGUCUUAUUUCAAAUCGAAUUAAUGCGUUUUAAGCUAGUUUCACAACUAUUAAAAAUCCCUUAAAUGAAGGCGAUAUGCGAUAUUUGGUAAUUCGCGGAAUCGUGCCCUAACGUGUUGGGCUGCAAUUUCUCGUUUGCUUAAAGUAAUCAAAUAUCCCUUCAAAAUUUCACCCAUGUCUUCUUAAAACCCUUUAAAAUGAAGGCAAUACUCGGUGUUUGAUAAUUCGGGAAUCAUGCCCUAUCAUGCUGGGUUGUGGUUUCUCGUUUGUUCAAAACAAUCGAAAUUCUUUUAGGUUUUCACUCAUGUUUAUUAAAAACCUUCUAAAACGAAGGCGAUCUUAGAUGUUUGGCGAUUUGAGAAUCGUGCCUUAUCGUGCUGGGUUGCGCAUUUUCGUUCGUUCAAAAUAAUCGAAGAUCCCUUUGGAAUUUCACUCUCAUUUUCUAAAAACUCUUUAAAACGGAAGAAAUGUUCGAUGUUUGGCAAUUCGUGGAAUAGCGCCAUAUCGUGUUGGAUUGCAAUCUCUCGUUUGUUCAAAAUAAUCGAAUAUCUCUUUCGGAAUUUCACUCGUAUUUUUUAAGGUGAGGCAAUGGUCAAUGAUUGGAAAUUUGAGGAAUCGUGCCCUAUUGUGCUGGGUUUCGGUUUUUCGUUGGACGAAAUAGUUGAGCAUCCUUUUGUGAUUUUCGAAUCAUAAAUUUUUGGACGUCGAAACAAGAAGAUUUUUGGCAAUCAACUUGAGUUAUUCAAAUGUUAUUAAAAAAGAACCACAUUUCAAAAAACAUUUUUAAUUUUAGACAUAAGGACAGUACUUAACCGAUUUGGUACCAAUUUUGGGCGGAGUGAGGGUGCUAAUUCUUCCUCAUACGUAACCGACUCCUGAGCUCGUUUUCUCAUAUUUUCGUAGACCAGAACUGUUGUUUUAGUAAACAAAAAAUGUUUUAUUAAAAUAACCAAAUUCUUAGGUGAUCCGAUCACACAAAAACAAAAAGAUCGGUGGCGACUCCAUAUUUCUAUUUUUCAAAAGUCGAUUCCCAUAAUUUUUAAAACCUAAAUUUUUUUAAUAAAAAUGGUGGUUUCGACAGCUUGGCGACUCCGAUGGGGACUUGAGAGUCGAGCCAUAAAAUCGAUUAUUUACUGUCCUUUUGUCAAAAACUGAAAUUUAUUUUAAAAAAUCAUGAUUGCAUUCGUUUGUAUGAUUGUUAUGGUUCGGAUCUCGUAGAAUAGUACCGCAUUUCAUUGCAUGACCGCUGUGGUCACACCUUCUAAGUGGGAGUAAGAAACUACGCUUUCGUGAGGUUUUCACCUCCGCAUGGGCUAGUGGAUUGCUUCCAGGGUACAUCCGUACCUAUGAUUUCGUGAGAUUUUCAUCUCCGCAUGGUCAUAGGGAAAUGUAUCCCCCUGAACCGAACUCGAUCUAUAUGAGCAUAUAAUGGGUGAGGAUUGAGGAAUCGGCUGGUUCGGGUACCUUGUCUCUAGAACCGAACCACAUAUAGUGAACCUUAGGAGCUAUCCUUGGGUGGAGCCGCAUCGAGCCUUAGUACUUACCCGUAUAUGCAUUGUAAUUAUCAUUUAUGUGCUUAUCGCUAUUAUUUGAUACUAACCUGUGUUUUGUUUUGAUUAUUUUUUGCAUGACAUUGCAUACUAAAUGAGGUGUUAAUUCGUAUUCAAUUACCAAGUUAGAAAGUUUGACAUGGAGAAUGAAUUUCUUAGUAAAGUCGAGGAUAAUGCGGCCGUUCGUGCAUGGUCAGAGAAGCUACAAUCAGAAAAAGGGGAUAGCUUGGUAGAAGGAUAUAUAUCAGAGUUGCAGGAUUUCACUCGUGUCAAUGUAACACAGAAUGAGCUGCAAGAGUUGAGAAAUAUUUGGGCUAGUUGGGAUGAAGAGACCAAGCAGAUGUUUUAUCAAAGCUACGGAGACAUAUCCUACUUGCUAGACAUUAGAGUGGAUAAGCAUCUAUUCCGAGUUAUUGUUCAGUUUUGGAAUUCUGCUUACAAGUGUUUCACUUUUGGGGAAGUGGACUUAGUACCUACCAUGGAGGAAUACACUACCCUGCUUAAGUGUCUGAAAAUUUAGGUCAGAAAGACUUAUGCUCAGAUUUUUAGUAGUCAAACUUUCAUAAAGAAAUUGAUGAGCAUUUCAGGGAUGAGCAAGCCUUAGGUCACUGCUCGAAUUCAACAAAAAAGAGAUAGUAAAUGUAUCUCUUGGGAGAAUUUGUUAGAUUUGAUCUUGACGCAUCCAAAUGAAAGAAAGAGGAUCAACAUCUUCGCCUUAAGCAUCUACGGAUUGGUAAUUUUUCCUAAGGCUUUGAGGUACGUAGACGAGGCAGUCAUUGACUUAUUCGAUUGCCUUGACAAGGGAAUCAUGCCGGUACCGGCAAUAUUGGCAGAAACGUUCAGAUCUUUGAGCUCAUGUCGGAAGACAGGCGAUGGACGGUUUAUUGGAUGUGCACAAUUACUGAUAGUAUGGUUUCAUGGGCACUUUUGGAAGGUAGACAAGGUUUCUUAUCGGGUCUUUUCUGAAGGUUACUCCCCGCUGAAAGAGGAGGCAGCUAUACAAAGGAGAGAGGAUAUCUCGGAGGAGUGGAUGGAAGUUCUUCAAAACCUCAAGGAGGGAGAUAUCGAGUGGAUAGCUUAUUGGAUGGUUUCUGAUGAGAUCAUGUAUCGAUGUGGUAACUUUGAUUGGGUACCGUUGUUAGGAAUUUGGGGAGCUACCGGGUAUACUCUAUUACUUGCGUUGAGGCAAUAUAAGUCGAGGCAGUUUGUACCCACGACCUACGGACUUGCUCAGAGUAAAUUCUCUUUUAAAUGUGCUCACUAUAAGAAAAAGAGUUCGGAGCUUGGGAAGAAGAUCGAACAAUUGGAGGAAGAGAAGAUGCACUUAAGAUUAGACGCUGAUAUCCAGAGGUCAGAGGCUGAAAAGUGGAGAAAAGGGAAAACUAAGGCCAAAGAAGAUCUAAACAGCUUGAAGACUGACUAUAAGAAGCUACGCCUAUCUAUGAGGACUGCGGGGUUAGGUAAGGCUUCAAAACAAUGGCGCCAUGAAAUUUGAGAAGAAAAGGCCAAUGCCAACCUGUGGGAAAGGAAAUUCCGAGAAGCUCAGGCAUGAAACGAAGAUUUAGAGAAGAGUCUGUUGGAAAGCAGAAAUGAGCGAGGUGAAUUAAGGGCUAGAGUGGCAGAACUCAAGAAGUCUCUGCAUCAGUAUCGAAACCGCAACACCGCAAUGAAAUUGAGAGCAAGCUUAAGCAAGAUAGAAGAAAUGAAAGGAAUAAUAGAAGAAUUAGAGGCAUUACUGCAAAACUGCGAGAUGCAGAUUUAGUUUUUCGAGGCAAAUGAGGACCGUUGGAAAGAGCAGCUUCACCAUGCGCAAGACCAGGUCAGAAACAGAUAUUACCUUAUGGGGGAAGCCAUAACCCAGAUUCAGGAGGUAGCUGACUACUUGCAAGCUUUAGCGGUACAGGCAGACACACUGAGCGUGAAGUAUGAGUUGGAGUCGGAUCGCGGACAAGAGCUGACCUUGUUGCUUAGAAAAAUUAAGACUUUGAGUGUUAGAGCGAAAUUUUAUCUGUAACUCAAUUUUAUGUAAAAGAUUUUAUUUUUAAGUGAAAUUUUCUAAAGGCAAUUGAAUUAAAUUUGAUGCCUCAUUUGUAUUCAUGCAUUUGCAUUACAUCAUAUCAUUAUGCAUUAAAGGCCAUAAGAGGUUUCUAAUUAAUUAAUUAAAAAUCAUUUCAGUAACCUGGAAACCAACGAAAACCAACCAACCACGCACCCCUACGGUACAAGAAAAAAAUCAAUGGAUAAGAGACUCGAGAAAUUGGAGCAAAUGCAAAAGGACAUGCAGGAACAAAUGCAGUCUUAGAUGCAAGAGCAACUAGCCAAGAUUCAGCGAGAGAUGAAGGAACAAAUGAUGGAAUCCCAAAGGGAAAUGAUGAGUCAGUUAUCCCAAUUGCUGUUGGGAGGAACGGAUAAGGGAAAUGGCCCCAUAGACAAAGUCGAGGAAACUAAUGAAGAUCUUCAAUACCCUCCCGGCUUCAUUCCGACACAUGUACCGAUGAAGCCCGAGAUUAAUCUACAAAAAUUAUCUGUCACGAUCAUGCCCCAACAGGUUCAAGCUGGAGCUUCAAUAUCGAUGAACUUCUAAACUGGCUCAGGCUUUAACUUUGUCAACAACCCGAACUAUCCGCCAGUUCCCGAUUUGGAUGAAGUUGCUGACAAAAAAAAUGCGAGGAUGGAUUCGCAAAAACAAUUGGAAGAACGGUGUAGAUGGCUCAAGGAGAAAUUCAAAGCCUUGGAAAGCGCAGAUCAUCAUCAAGGGAUUGAUGCCAAAGACCUGAGUCUGGUCCUAGAUUUAGUCCUUUCCCCUAAAUUCAAAAUGCCCGAAUUCGAGAAAUACAAUUGAACAAUCUACCCUAAAGCCCACAUCACUAUGUUCUGUAGGUGAAUGACGGGGUACGUUAACAAUGACCAGCAAUUAAUCCACUGCUUUCAAGAUAGUCUGGUCGGGGCGGGGUCUAAGUGGUAUAACCAAUUAAGUCGCUCUAAAAUUAACUCGUGGAAGGACCUGGCUCAGGCCUUUAUGAAGCAAUACAAUCAUGUGAUGGACAUGACCCCCGACAGAAUCACACUCCAGAACAUGGAGAAGAAAUCAAAUGAAAGCUUCAGACAGUACGCACAAAGAUGAAGAGAGGUGGCCAUACAAGUUCAGCCGUCACUUCUAGAAAAGGAGAUGACGAUACUCUUUAUUAACACAUUGAAAGCCCCUUUUAUCACUCAUAUGUUGGGAAGCGCCACCAAGAGCUUCUCUGACAUAGUGAUGACAGGGGAAAUGAUCAAAAAUGCUAUUAGAAGCGGUAAGAUAGAAUCAAAAGAGAGUGCCAGGAAGUCGACCCCGAGGAAAAGAGAUAAUGAAGUGAACAACACGAGCACAUUCAACAAGAAUCAGUCUAAGCCACUUACCGUAAAUCAGCCAAAGACGGUAGCCACCAAUCAACGUAGCUCCGUAAUACAAGAACUUAACGCGAGGGAGAACACAGAAAGGCCAUAAUUCACCACUAUACCCAUGACAUAUAGAGAGCUCUACCAGAACCUGUUCAUCGCUCACGUAGUAUCCCCUUUCUACAUGAAGCCACUGCAGCCCCCGUAUCCCAAAUGGUAUAACACAAACGCCCAAUGUGAAUACCACGCGAGAAUUACCGGGCACUCAAUCAAAAAUUGCACUACAUUCAAGAAAGUAGUCGAAAGACUCAUUAAGAUGGGGAUCGUGAGGUUUGACAACCCAACUGUACCCAACAUAGCAGGAAACCCGCUCCCCAAACAUACCGACCAGGGAGUGAAUGGGAUAAGCGAAGGCAAAAACAAUAAGAUCAAGUGUGAGGUUGCGGAAGUCAGGACUCCGUUGAGACGAGUGUGGAGGGAGAUGGUCAAGAGAAAUUUGAUCGCGUUAGAUUUGAGUAGAGAAUCCAAAGAAGAGAGGAACUACUGCGAGUUCCACAAUAAGGUGGGGCAUGAAAUCCAAGAGUGUGUGGAGUUCAGGGCCCUCGUGCAGAACAUGAUAGAUAAUAAAGAAAUAGAGUUUUAUCAAGAAGCUAAAAACCUGGGAGAGGGAGAUAUAUGUGCGUCGGAGGGAGAAUCGACGGCACAGAAUCAAACAGCUAACUAUCCCGUUGUUAUCAUAUCAAAACCUAAAAAUAAUAAAGUUGGAGUACAAAUGCCACCGAGGGCCAUAAUCUAAAGACCUGCAGUCUUCCCCUACAAAGACAUCAAAAAGGUCCCAUGGUAUUAUGAUUGUAACGUGACGAUUUCAGGGAAGAAAAGCCUGGUGGAUGCUUCAAAAGAGGGUUAAGACAGGGGCUCCUAUACACGUAGCGGGAGACGUUACGAUACAGUAAAUGAGGAGGCACAACCUACAAAAGGAAAAGCUCCAGUGGUCGAGGAAAUGAAAGAAAAAGCAACCAAAACUGUUAACGAGCCAGUUAACAAAGAGGAGGCCAAGGAGUUUUUAAAAUUCCUAGCGAAUAUAGUGUGGUGGAACAGCUACGUAAACAACCGGCUCGUAUCUCGAUGCUGGCCUUACUUCUAAGCUCGGAAGUUCAUCGCAGCGCGUUGAUGAAGGUCUUAAAUGAGACAUAUGUUACCAACGAUAUCUUUGUUAGCAAGCUAGACCGUUUGGUUUGCAACAUAAGUGCUGAAAACUAUAUCUUUUUCAAUGACGACGAGAUACCACCCGGUGGCAUGGGGUCGACUAAAGCCUUGCACAUUACCAUGCGCUGCAAAGGGUAUACACUGCCAGACGUACUGAUUGACAACGAAUCGACUUUGAACGUCCUGCCAUUGACCACGCUAAACAGAUUACCCAUAGACAACUCUCACAUGAAGGAGUGUCAGAACAUAGUGAAGGCAUUCGAUGGCACGGAGAGAAAGGUGAUGGGCAGAAUCAAGAUACCUUUUCAGAUCGGGCCAAACACAUAUGAUGUGGACUUCCUAGUAAUGGAUAUCAAGCCCUCAUACAACUGCCUAUUGGGAAGGCCCUAGAUACAUUCAGCUGGGGCAGUGCCUUCAUCGUUGCAUCAAAAGUUGAAACUGGUAUCAGAGAGGCGGUUGAUAACAAUCAAUGCUGAAGAGGAUAUCAUUGCAACUGUGAGUAAUAACGCGCCCUAUUUGGAGACAGAUGAUGAAGCAACCGAAUGCUAGUUUCAAUCUUUGAAAUUUGUUAAUGCGACAUUUAUCGUCGAGGGAAGAAAGAUUCCAGUGCCAACAUUGUCCAAAACUACAAAGAUGAGUCUACGGUUGAUGGUUGGAAAAGGGGCUCUACCUGGAAGAGGACUUGGGAGACAUCUCCAAUGAAUGGUUGGAACGCCAGUAUUGAAGGAGAAGAGAGACCGCUUUGGCUUAGGAUUUAAGCCAGAUGUAAGACAAAUGAGAAAAGAGUUGGAAAAGAAGCAAGAGAGAAAGAGAGCACGGUUGACGGGGGAGGAAAUCAAAUGGGAACCAAUGAUAUUCCCCCACAUAUUGAAAACCUUUGUGUCUGGAGGAAUCAUUCAUCCUGAGAGAGGUACGACAAUGAAGGGAGCCAUAGAAGAAAGGCUAGAAAGCUUAGACAUCAACGUCACGUACGACGAAGAGGCUAGAGGAGAAAAUUUGUCAGGCAUUUGUCCUUACACACUUGGAAAUAUUCUGAAUAACUGGACUGCGGAAGAGAUUCCUAUAGUUUUUAGAACUAAUUCAGAGUAAUGUCUAAAACAUACUUAUUGCUCUAGGCCUAGGAGUAAUAAGAAUCUUUUGUGAAAUAGGCUGAUGUUUAAAAACGUUAUUUCAAUGAAAUGCACGGUUAUUAUCAUUCUUGAGCGAAUGUUCUCUCAUUUUUAAUCAUGUUAUACUAACAAUUACUCCCGAAUUCUUUUAUUCUUUAAACAUUCUUCUAAAUAUUCUUUCAUUCGUCAUUCGUAAUCAUACCAUACUGAUAAAUGUUUUUGAAUUCUUUUGAUUCUUUGUAUCUGUCGUCAUCCUCAUAACAGGUCCCCAGAUAUUAAUGAUACGAGUGACACUGCUAGUGAUUCAGAAUUUCCUUUUGAGCGAGAUGUGUGUAUGGAGGAUUUUCAGGAUUUUGAGGAUAACCAAGGCUGUAACCUAUCUCCUGAUUUGUUGAGAAUGGUAGAACAAGACGAGAAACAAAUCCUUCCUCACAAAGAAUCAGUAGAAAUUGUGAGCUUGGGAGAGGGACAAGAAGUAAAGAUCGGAACGUUAUCACCAUGGAGAUGAAGCGAGACCUCAUUGAAUUGCUUCAAGAAUUCAAAUACGUCUUCGCAUGGUCAUACCAAGAUAUGUCCGAGUUGGACACUGACAUCGUGGUGCACCGACUCCCCAUAAAGGAAGAAUGUAAGCCAGUUCAGCAAAAACUCCAAAGAAUGAGGCCCGAUGUCCUGCUAAAAAUAAAAGAAGAGGUUCGCAAGCAGUUCGACGCUGGAUUCCUAAAGGUCGUAAAAUACUCAGAUUGGGUAGCCAACAUCGUCUCCGUCCCCCAAAAAGAUGAAAAAGUACGAAUGUGUGUGGACUACAGAGAUUUGAACAAAGCCAGCCCGAAGGACAAUUUCCCACUACCUCAUAUUGACAUCCUAGUGGACAACACGGUAGGACACUAACUGUUUUCAUUCAUGGAUGGUUUCUCCGGAUAUAACCAGAUCAAGAUGCAUCCUGAAUACAUGGAGAAGACCAUAUUUGUAACCAUGUGGGGCACGUUCUGCUACAAAGCAAUGCCAUUUGGAUUGAAAAACGCAGGGGCAACAUAUCAAAGGGUCAUGGUAACCCUGUUUCACGACAUGAUGCAUAAAGAAAUCGAAGUUUAUGUCGAUGAUAUGAUCGCAAAGUCUCGAACCGAGAAGGAGCACGUACAAGUCCUGAGGAAAUUGUUCUUGAGGUUGAGGAAGUUUCAACUAAAACUCAACCCAACCAAAUGUACUUUCGGAGCCAAGUUCGAAAAACUACUCAGAUUCGUGGUCAGUGAGAAAAGGGAUUGAGAUCGAUCCAGACAAAGUCAAAGCCAUACAAGAGCUAUCUCUGCCGCGUACCAGAAAGAGGUUCGAGGUUUUCUAGGAAGAUUAAAUUACAGUGCUCGGUUCAUUUCACAACUGACCGAGAAAUGUGACCCUGUCUUUCACCUCCUCAAGAAACACAACCCAGGUGUAUGGGAUGAAGAAUGCCAAAAGACUUUCGACAAGCAGUACUUAUCCAAUGCUCCAGUGCUAAUCCCACCUAACCCCGAUAAGCCAUUGAUACUGUAUCUGGCAGUAUUUAAAAAUUCUAUCAAAUGCGUACUGGGUCAGCAUGAUGAGUCAGGAAGGAAAGAAAAUGCUAUUUACUAUAUUAGUAAAAAGUUCACGGAAUGUGAGACAAGGUACCUACCGAUAGAGAUGCUGUGUUGUGCCCUAAUUUGGACAACCCGAAGGCUGAGGCAGUAUAUGUUGUAUCACACCACUUGGCUCAUCUCAAAACUGGACCCUUUAAAGUACAUGAUGGAGUCAACAACUUUGAAUGGAAGGAUGGCCCGAUGGCAGAUUCUGCUUUCCGAAUUUGACAUAGUUUAUGUGAAUCAGAAAGUAGUAAAAGGGAGUGCAAUAGCAGAUUUCCUGGCCAGUAGAGCUUUGGAAGACUACGAGCCUUUGAACUUCGAUUUCCCGAAUAAAGACCUGAUGUGUGUUGCGACCGUUGAAGAAGGUGAUUCGAAAGAACUUCCCUGGAAACUAAACUUCGAUGAGGCAUCAAAUGUUUUGGGUAAUAGAAUCGGGGCAGUCUUGGUAUCCCCAAACGGAGAUCAUUAUCUAUUCACUAGUAAAUUGGAUUUUGAUUGUAUGAAUAACAUGGCGGAAUACGAAGCGUGCAUCAUGGGUAUCCUUGCAGCUAUAGAACGCAAGAUUAAAGUGCUAGAAGUGUAUGUGGAUUCUGCGUUAGUGAUUUAUCAACUCAAGAGAGAAUGGGAGACCAGAGACCCCAAGUUGAUCGACUAUCAGAAAUUGGUUAUUGAAUUGGUUAAAGAGUUUGAUGACAUUGCCUUUUUCUACCUUCCACGUGACGAAAAUUAGAUGGCCGAUGCUUUGUCCACAUUAGCUUCCAUGAUCAAGGUGAACAAACAAGAAGAUGUCAAACCCAUCCGGAUGAGUAUUUAUGAAAAUCUGGCUCACUGUUAUAAUAUUGAAGAGGAUGAAGAAAAAGAUGAUCACCUCUGGUAUCACGAUAUAUUGCAAUACGUAAAGAAUCGUGAGUACCAGGACCAGGCAAGCGAGAAUGACAAAAGGACGCUGAGAAGAUUGGCCAUCGACUAUGUCUUAGAUGGGGAGAUCCUAUACAAAAGAAGAAAGGAUCAAGUGCUGUUAAGAUGUGUAGAUAUUGUAGAAGCUAAGAAAAUCUUGGAAGAAGUCCAUGAAGGCGUCUGUGGGACACACGCUAAUGGCUUUACAAUGGCUAGGCAAAUUAUAAGAUUUGGGUACUAUUGGUCCACUAUGGAAGGGGACUGUGUCGAUUACGCCAAGAGAUGCCAUAAGUGCCAAAUCUACGGAGACAAAAUUCAUGUGCCUCCUUCACCACUACAUGUCAUGGUUUCCCCAUGGCCUUUCUCUAUGUGGGGUAUGGAUGUGAUUAGACCAAUAUCGCCGAAGGCUUCCAACGGACAUCGAUUCAUCUUUGUGGUUAUUGACUACUUCACCAAAUGGGUAGAGGCUGCUUCGUAUGCUAGUGUUACAAAGUCGACAGUGAGUAAAUUUCUGAAAAAAAAGAUCAUAUGUCAAUAUGGAAUGCCGGAGAGGAUCAUAUCUGACAGUGCAUUAAACCUGAACAAUAGUACGAUAGUGGAAGUCUGUAGUCAAUUCAAGAUCAGACACCACAACUCGUCACCAUAUCGCCUGAAGAUGAAUGGGGCAGUGGAAGCAGCCAAUAAAAACAUUAAGAAGAUUGUGAGGAAGAUGACCGAGACCUACAGAGAUUUGGCAUGAGAAGUUACCAUUUGCCCUCUUCGCUUAUUGAACGUCAGUCAGAACCUCAACUGGGUCAACCCCUUUUUCUUUGAUCUACGGAAUAGAAGCGGUUUUGCCAAUCGAAGUCGAAAUCCCAUCCCUUCGAGUGUUUUCGGAGUUAAAGUUGGAUGAAGCAGAAUGAAUCCAGUCUCAAUACGAUCAAUUGAACUUAAUCGAGGAAAAGAGACUAAAAGCUAUUCGUCAUGGUCAAAUGUACCAAAGACGGAUGAUGCGAACUUAUGACAAUAAGGUUUGCCUUAGAGAAUUUCACAAGGGAGACCUGGUUUUGAAAAAGAUCCUUCCAAUACAGAAGGAUUUUUGAGGAAAAUGGAUGCCUAACUGGGAGGGGCCUUACGUGGUGAAGAAAGCUUUCUCCGGAGGAGCAUCAAUUCUAGCCGAAAUGGAUGGUAAAAACCUGCCCCAUCUCCUAAAUUCGGAUUCCGUAAAGAAGUAAUUUGCUUAAAAAGGAAAGGACAAGGUGAAAACCCGCAAAGGUCGCUUUGAGACCAAAUAAAAAAUAAAAAAAUGGAGAGGCCAAGGUGAAAACCAGCAAAAGGGUACUUUGAGACCAAAGGGGUUUUUGAGUUGAAAACCCGAAAGCGGGCAGCUCAAAUUUUGAAUGUGGGGCGUGUGGUAGUCUUGUUUUCCCGAAAUUAAUAAGAGGGAAUAACAGUACAUCUUGGAGCAUCAAUAAAAUACGCGGGAUCUCCUGAACACAAAUUUGGUUCGAAUAAGCCUUUAAGAAAUUGGAAUAGUGAAACUCGUGCUGCGAUAUCUGGGGCACCUCUUUUCUCAUUUUGUUUUAUGCCUUAGUAGAUUUGCUAUCCUGUUUAAUGUAUCCACUUUGAGUUUCGCUCAAUAAAAUUCCAUUCUAUCCAAUAUGAUAAUCUUUUCCGAGCAUUUUUGUUGAAAUCACGAUUUUUGGAUUUAUAAUAUUUACAUAAAAGAUGUUAUGCAUAUUACUCUGGAAAGUCUCUAAAUAGUACAAGGACCUGAAACAGGGCCACUAGUCAGGACUAACUAGGUUCAAAAGUUGGAAACAUUCGAAAAAGAAUAGUCCUAAUUGUGACUAUUCAUUUAAAUUUUCUAUCAAAGAUAACGGCUAAGCAAGAGGGCGUGAUAGCACAUCAAUGAUAGAACCCGAAUAACUAUGAACAAUGAUACCUUAAGCGUUUAAAAAGGAAUUACUUUUAUGACAUUUCUACAUUCAUAAUCAUUCAUUUAGUUAGAAGCACUUGAUUUAUUUCGAUCAUAGCAUUUUAAUUAUUUGACAUAAACACCACAUUUAGUUAGGGGCAUUUGAUUCAUUUUGAUCAUGGCACCCUAAUUAUUUGGCAUACACAAAUACAGGAAACCAAUUCUACAAAUCAUGUCUUUAGGAGAUAGUGUAGCGACAUUGGUAAAUUCUACAGAUCUCGUUUCCCUGAAGUUGCAGUGAAAUAGAUCGAAGACGGAAAAUCAUGGCUUCCUAAAGUUGCAAUGAAGCAGAUUUAAGCCACCGACCUAGCUCCUUAAAGUUGUAGUGGAGUAGGCUCAAAUUUUAGAUCUUGUUUCCCUAAAGUUGCAGUGGAGCAGAUCAAAGACGGUGAAUCUAGUCUUCCUGAAGUUACAGUGAAGCAGAUUCAAUGUAACACCCCUAACCCGUCUCCGUCGCCGAAUCAGGGUUACGAGGCAUUACAAAACCAAGCUCACAUAAACAUAACUUUAAUAUCUAAUUCCAAAUGCAAGUCCAAUUCAUGAACAUAUAUAAUCAAAUUCAAGCAUGGAAACUAAACUCUUUUCACAUUGCUAUUUACACAAUAGGAUUCAAAACUAACCAAAACAUUAUCAAGCCUAUACAUGCCAUAAGAUCGAGUUCAAAUAUUUAACAAAAUACCAAAAGAAGUUGAUAGUGUGAUGGACUGUGCUGAUGAUCCCCGAGCUCGUAACGCGUCUCCAAAUCUAUAAAAAUGAAUGAACGAAAGCAAACGAAGUAAGCUUUUAUAGCUUAGUAAGUCUCCAGCAUAACUAAAUGUAUAAUUAUAAACACAUAAUUAUUAUAACCUUUUUAAUCUAUUCUACUGAAAUUUUAACUAACACAACCAACUAACAUUCAUACAUUAUUCUACUCAGACCAUUUCAUUUAUAGUCAGAUAUGUAUACUUGUCGGAUGAAUUCAGUUUAAUAUAUAUAUUAUACAAAACAACAUUACAAUUGAAUGUAUACCACCGAGCAUAUAUAUACAUAUUAUAUACAUAUCAAACCGAUUGUAUAUGUACACUCAUGGUAAGUUCUAAAUCAAUUCAAAUCUAACACAAAUAUAUAUACAUCAAUCACAUCUUAUAUUUGUUUGUAUAUAAAUAUACUCAUUAUGAAUUUAUACCUGAAUACCUAGGUAACACAUACAUUCGAAAUAUACACAUAUAUAUAUCUCAAAUGCAUACAUGAUUAAUUAUCAAACACAUAGGCUCAACAUAUAUAUGUUUAACUACCACAUAUCACCAUAUGCAUUUAUAAAUUCAGCAAUCACAUAUAUCUAAUGUACAUAUGUAUUCAUCGAUUUCAUAAAAUCACAAAUCAUAGAUAUAUCCAUUGCAUAUUCUAACACAAUUUAAACAGAUUCACCGGCAUUUUGCCUGCUAGGCUUAAAGCCUGAUUCAGUACACCGGCACUUAGCCUGCUAGACAUAUAGUCUGAAAUGUAUCACCGGCAUUAAGCCUGCUAGACAUAUAGUCUGAAAUGUAUCACCGGCAUUAAGCCUGCUAGACUUAAAGUCUGAAAUGUAUCACCGGCAUUAAGCCUGCUAGACUUAAAGUCUGAAAUGUAUCACCGGCAUUAAGCCUGCUAGACUUAAAGUCUGAAUUACUUCACCGGCAUUAAGCCUGCUAGACGUAACGUCUGUAUUACAUUCAAUCACUUUAUAAUAAUUCAAACUAACAAUUUCAUAUCUUCACUACCAUUCAAAAACUUUUACGUGAAUAUACAUACAAAAUCGAAACUUUCACAUACAUAUAUAAUUCCAUACCAAAUUUCGAUUCAAGAAUUUAUACAUGUGCAUUUAUACAUAUUCGAAUCUACCAUAUGAAUGUAUAAUUUCAUACUCAAUUUCAAAACAAAAACUUGUACAUAUAUAAAUGCACAAUCAAUCCUCGCAUACUUAUAUAAUGACAUAACUAAAUUCAAUACACAACACAUACAUGUAUACUUGCAUGCUUAUUCGACUUUAUAUAUAUAUAUAUACAUACUUAUAUAAUCAUUCAAACCAUAUAUAUAUAUACCUAUAUCUUAUACAUACCUUUGAUUAAUCCAAUAAUUUAUACAAGAUCAUACUUGUAUAUUCGAACAUGUUAUAUACAAUAUCUAUAGUCCAAAGUUUAUUCAACUAUUAUACUUUAAAUUAUAGCUCAAUCAUAAGAUAAAAUUAGUAUGCAUGUAUAAAUAUUAACUUAAUAACUUUUAGUUGCUAAUAGACUUACCUCGGAUAUCAGCAAACACGAUCGACUAUUCGAUUUCCUUCGACUUCCCCCGAUCCAAAUUCGUUUUCUUCGUUCCUUGAUCUAAACAUAGUCAAAUUUAACCUUUUUAUUCAUCAAAACAUUCAUUUGAGUCCAACAAUACAUAAAUGGGAAAAUUACCAUUUUGCCCCUAACAUUUUGCACUUUUUGCAAUUUAGUCCUUUUUGCACAAAACACAAAAUACACAAAAUUUGCCCUUAACACACAAGGGCCGAAUAUUCAUGGUUCUCAUACAAGUCCACACAUUGCAUUUAUUUCACAUUUUAGUCCCUCAAAAAUUUAUUUUCACAAUUUAGCCCUAAAUACUCAAAUUCAUCAAAAAUCCCAAGACAAAACAUGUUAAUCUAAGACAUAUCUUCCAUUAUUCAUCAUCAAACAUCACAAAACACAAAUAUUCAUCAAUGGCAUAACUCAAAAUAUUCAUUAAAAUUAGAAAUUCAAGCAUGGGUCGGGUAGUAUUCAAAGCAACGAUCUCAAAAACGUAAAAAGUAUCAAAAAUCGAAACCAAAGCAUACCUUAAUUUUGCUAUGAAAGUGCCGAAACUUAAGAAACCAUGGAUGGUUUCUUCCUUUCCAAUAUUCGGCUAACAAAGAUGAACAUAUUCAUCUUUUUAUGACUUAUUUUAGUUAUAAUAUUAUAAUUUACUUAAUGACUAAAUUAACCUUAAUUAAAUAAAUUAUAAAUUACAUAACUUAAGGGCAAUGUUGGCAUAUACCACCCACUAACUAAAUCUUGGUCUAAUUACAUCUUUAGACCUCCCACUUAAAAAGACAACUACAAAUAGGUGCUUUUAAAUUUUAACCUUUAACUUUUAUUUUACGCGAUUAAACCCUUUUAUUAAAUCGGACACUUAAACGACGAAAUUAAAACACGAAAAUUUUACACAAUCAAGUGCACACGAAAUAAACACACAAAAUAAUAUUAAUAAUAUUUUUCUAAUUCAAAUUUGUGGUCCCGAAACCACUAUUCUGAUUAGGGUCAAAACCGGGUUGUUACAACUCUCCCCCCUUAGGGAUUUUCGUCCCCGAAAAUCUUACCGGUGAAUAGGUUUGGAUAACGCUCCUUCAUUGUAUCCUCUGACUCCCAAGUUGCUUCUUCAACUCCGUGUUUAUGCCACAAUACUUUAACUAACGGAAUUUUCUUAUUUCGUAAUUCAUUGAUCUCACGAGCCAGAAUGCUAAUCGGUUCUUCUUCAUAUGACAUAUCAGGGUUAAUUUCAAUCUCCGUCGGACAAAUCACAUGUGAAGGAUCAGAUCGGUAUCUACGGAGCAUCGAAACAUGAAAUACAUUGUGAAUCUUUUCUAACUCAGGUGGUAACAUCAAUCUAUAAGCAACCGGUCCGACACGUUCUAUAAUCUCAUACGGUCCAAUGAAUCUUGGACUCAAUUUGCCUUUACGACCGAAUCUGAGUACUUUCUUCCACGGUGAGACUUUCAAAAACACUUUAUCGCCGAUCUGAAAUUCUAUAUCUUUUCUUCUCAAAUCCGCAUAAGAUUUCUGACGAUCUGAUGCUGAUUUCAGGCUGUCCCGAAUCACUUUCACUUUCUGUUCGGUCUCUUUAACCAAAUCAACCCCGUGUAUCCUAUUUUCACUGAGCUCGGUCCAAUACAGUGGUGUACGACAUUUACGACCGUACAAAGCCUCAUAAGGUGCCAUUUUAAUACUAGAUUGAAAGCUGUUAUUAUAAGCAAAUUCAAUCAAAGGUAAAUAUCGUUCCCACGUACCUUCAAACUCGAGAAUGCAACAUCUCAACAUGUCCUCAAGUAUCUGUAUAAUUCGCUCCGAUUGACCAUCUAUUUGCGGAUGGAAAGCUGUGCUAAAAUGUAGUUUCGUACCUAAUGCAUCUUGUAAUUUCUUCCAAAACCGCGAUGUAAAUCUCUUGUCUCUGUCCGAAAUAAUAGAAAUAGGCACUCCGCGCAAUUUUACAAUCUGAGAAAUGUACAAUUCAGCAAGUUUAUCAAGCGAAUAAUCAAUACGAACCGGAAUAAAGUGAGCCGAUUUUGUCAAUCUAUCAACAACAACCCAAAUUGCAUCUUUCUUGCUGGGUGUUAACGGUAAACCGGAUACAAAAUCCAUCGUAACUCUGUCCCAUUUCCAUUCAGGUAUCAUGAUCGGCUGCAGCAAUCCAGAAGGUACCUAAUGCUCGGCUUUUACUUGCUGACAUAUUAAACAUUUCGAAACAAAGUCAGAAAUGUCUCGUUUCAUUCCAUGCCACCAAUAGUGUUGUUUCAGAUCAUUAUACAUUUUCGUGCUACCCGGAUGAAUAGAAAAUCGACUAUUAUGGGCUUCAUUCAAAAUCAUCUGAAUUAACUCUGGAUUUUUCGGAACACAUAAUCGGUUUCUGAAUCUCAAACAAUCCUCAGUAUCAACUAGAAACUCUGAAUCAACAUUUAAGUCACACUGAGUUCGUUUUGCAAUUAAAUCAUCAUCGGCUUUUUAAGCUUCACAAAUCUGUUGAACAAAUAACGGUUUUGCUUUCAACUCAGCUACUAUCGCACCAUCAUCAGACAUAACCAUAUGUGCAUUCAUUGCACGCAAAGCAAACAGUGAUUUUCGACUUAGGGCAUCAGCAACAACAUUAGCCUUUCCCGGAUGAUAGUCAAUCACGAGCUCGUAAUCUUUCAACAAUUCUAACCAUCGACGCUGUCUCAAAUUCAGAUCUUUCUGAGUCAUCAAAUAUUUCAAGCUUUUAUGAUCGGAAUAAACAUGACAUCUUUCGCCAAACAGAUAGUGACGCCAUAUUUUUAACGCAAAUACAAUAGCGGCCAAUUCCAGAUCAUGCGUCGGAUAGUUCUUUUCAUGCGGCUUUAACUGUCUCGAGGCAUAGGCUACAACUUUGCCUUCCUGCAUCAAUACACAGCCCAAACCAUUUAAAGAUGCAUCACUAUAGAUAACAAACUCUUUACCCGAUUCGGGUUGAACUAGGACUGGAGCUUUGGUUAAAAGAGCUUUCAACUGAUCGAAACUUUUCUGGCACUUUUCUGACCACUCAAACUUAACGUCUUUUUGUAGUAACCUUGUCAUCGGGGUCGCAAUCAUAGAGAACCCUUUCACAAAACGUCUAUAAUAGCCAGCGAGCCCCAGAAAGCUUCGAACUUCCGAAACAUUCCUCGGAGGUUUCCAAUCAAGUAUAGCUGAAAUUUUACUCGGAUCAACCCAAAUACCCGAUGCUGAAACAACAUGGCCCAGAAAACUGACUUCACGUAACCAGAACUCACAUUUACUAAACUUUGCAUACAACUGCUUAUCUCGCAAAGUUUGUAACACAAGUCUCAGAUGUUCAGCAUGCUCAUUUUCGUCUCGAGAGUAGAUCAAAAUGUCAUCAAUAAAUACUACCACAAACCGAUCCAGAUACUUCCUAAAGAUCCGAUUCAUCAAGUCCAUGAAAAUAGCAGGUGCAUUAGUAAGUCCGAAAGGCAUAACAAGAAACUCAUAAUGUCCGUACCUCGUUCGGAAAGCAGUCUUUGGCACAUCAGAGUCUUUAACUCGCAACUGAUAGUAGCCUGAUCUCAGAUCUAUCUUUGAAAACACAGUAGCCCCUUUCAACUGAUCGAACAAAUCAUCAAUCCGUGGUAACGGAUACUUAUUCUUUAUAGUCACUUUAUUGAGUUACCGGUAAUCAAUGCACAUUCUCAUCGUUCCGUCUUUCUUUCUCACAAAUAGAACUGGUGCACCCCAAGGAGAGAAACUCGGUCGUGCAAAACCUUUAUCAGUCAGCUCUUGCAACUGUACUUUCAAUUCUUUUAAUUCGGUCGGUGCCAUACGGUACGGAGCUAUCGAUAUGGGAGUCGUCCCUGGUACUAACUCAAUACCAAACUCUACCUCUCGAAUAGGUGGCAAACCCGGUAAUUCUUCGGGAAACACGUCUGAAUACUCACACACUACUAGUACAGAUUCAAUCUUCUUUUCGGUCACUUUACUAUCAAGAACAAAUGCAAGGUAAGCUUCACAACCCCUUCUCACAUACUUCUGAGCCGACAUCGAGGAUAUUAUUGCUGAUAAACCAUUCAGAUCAUUAGAUUCGAUCCGAAUAAUCUCAUCAUUCUGACACCGUAGAUCAAUAGUUUUCCGUUUGCAGUUUACAAUAGCAUCAUGCAGAGUUAACCAAUCCAUACCCAGAAUUAUAUCGAACUCGUCGAAUGGUAACAACAUCAAAUCAGCUGGAAAACAUAAAUCUCGAAUCAUCAACGGACAAUUCUUGCACACUUUGUCAACCAAAACACACCGGCCCAGGGGGUUCGAUACUUUAAUUACAAACUCAGUAGACUCAACAGGCAAAGUCUUACUGAAUACUAAAGUCUCACACACAUAAGAAUGAGUCGAACCAGGAUCAAUCAAUGCAAUAACAUUAGUAUCAUAAAGAGUGAAAGUACCAGUAAUAACAUCUGGAGAAGAAGCCUCCUCUCGAGCACGGAUGGCAUAAGCUCUGGCAGGUGCACGGGCCUCAGAUCGAAUUGCUGUGUCCCUGGUUCCUCUCUGACUACCACUUACAUUACUCAAUUGUCUCGGCGGUCUACCUCGGACUGGCACAUUACUCGGUCUGGUAUCCUGCACAGUGUUUUGCUCAGCUACCAUCGGACACUCUCGAAUGAAAUGAUCUUUUGAACCACACUUGAAGCAAGACCGAUCAUGGAAUCUGCAAUCCCCAGGAUGCCAUUUCCCACAAUGCUUGCACUCUGAUCUAUUUUGUCGAACACUACCAACGCUAGCAACUGAAGUAGCUCGUGAACUCACAGGGGGUCGAUCUCGAUCAUACUUAGGAAACCCUGCAGUAGCUUUAGAUUGGCUAUGAUCCGCUCUGAAUUUCCUUGAGGUCGACUGAAAUGAUUUACUGAAUGAUCUUUUACGAGAAUCUCGAGCUUCAUAGUCAGCUUUCCUCUUCUCUUUCCCGAGCUCCUCAGCUUUACAAGCUCGUUCCACAAGUACUACGAACUCUUUUAUCUCAAGUAUACCAACUAACAGUUUAAUAUCUUCGUUCAGCCCAUCUUCAAAUCUUCUACACAUGAUAGCUUCAGUUGAAACACACUCUCGAGCAUAUCUACUAAGCCUCACAAAUUUCCGUUCAUAUUCUGUCACUGUCAUACGACCCUGUUUCAGUUCAAGAAAUUCCUUACGUUUCUGAUCAAUAAAUCUCUGGCUGAUGUAUUUCUUACGAAACUCAGUCUGAAAGAAUUCCCAGGUCACUCGCUCUUUCAGAACCACCGAUGCUAGUGUAUUCCACCAGUGAUAUGCAGUGUCCCGUAGCAAGGAUAUGGCACAUUUCAAGCACUCAUCAGGGGUGCAAGACAACUCAUCAAACACUCGAAUAGUAUUAUCAAGCCAGAAUUCAGCUCGCUCAGCAUCAUCAUCAUCAGUAGCUCUGAACUCUUCGGCCCCGUGUUUUCGAAUUUUGUCAACCAGAGGCUUAAGUAAUCUCAUCGGAUCACUUACUUGGGGUAUAACAGGAAUCGAAGAUGGAUUAGUCGGGGGUGGAGGUUGUUGUGUAACCGGAUUAGUUCGGACAUAAUGAGUAAACCAGUCAUUCAUCAUUUGGUAGAAGGCUUGUUUAGCCUCUCCCUCCUGGUUACUCGAGGUCGGUCGAGAAUCUACCGGCUCUGUCCCUUGUGCGGGAGCAGGCGCUAUACUCUCAACAUCAUCGGCUACGGCUCGAUCGGGAUCCAUUACUAUACGAAAACACAUUUUUAGACAUCAGCAGUCAUCACACUAUCUCGAUAUAAAAAUUAUGGCAUGUAUAGCUAGACUCAUACAUGCUACGUUAGUCCAAGAAUCGACUAAACCGUAGCUCUGAUACCAAUAAAAUGUAACACCCCUAACCCGUCUCCGUCGCCGAAUCAGGGUUACGAGGCAUUACGAAACCAAGCUCACAUAAACAUAACUUUAAUAUCUAAUUCCAAAUGCAAGUCCAAUUCAUGAACAUAUAUAAUCAAAUUCAAGCAUGGAAACUAAACUCUUUUCACAUUGCUAUUUACACAAUAGGAUUCAAAACUAACCAAAACAUUAUCAAGCCUAUACAUGCCAUAAGAUCGAGUUCAAAUAUUUAACAAAAUACCAAAAGAAGUUGAUAGUGUGAUGGACUGUGCUGAUGAUCCCCGAGCUCGUAACGCGUCUCCAAAUCUAUAAAAACGAAUGAACGAAAGCAAACGAAGUAAGCUUUUAUAGCUUAGUAAGUAUCCAGCAUAACUAAAUGUAUAAUUAUAAACACAUAAUUAUUAUAACCUUUUUAAUCUAUUCUACUGAAAUUUUAACUAACACAACCAACUAACAUUCAUACAUUAUUCUACUCAGACCAUUUCAUUUAUAGUCAGAUAUGUAUACUUGUCGGAUGAAUUCAGUUUAAUAUAUAUAUUAUACAAAACAACAUUACAAUUGAAUGUAUACCACCGAGCAUAUAUAUACAUAUUAUAUACAUAUCAAACCGAUUGUAUAUGUACACUCAUGGUAAGUUCUAAAUCAAUUCAAAUCUAACACAAAUAUAUAUACAUCAAUCACAUCUUAUAUUUGUUUGUAUAUAAAUAUACUCAUUAUGAAUUUAUACCUGAAUACCUAGGUAACACAUACAUUCGAAAUAUACACAUAUAUAUAUCUCAAAUGCAUACAUGAUUAAUUAUCAAACACAUAGGCUCAACAUAUAUAUGUUUAACUACCACAUAUCACCAUACGCAUUUAUAAAUUCAGCAAUCACAUAUAUCUAAUGUACAUAUGUAUUCAUCGAUUUCAUAAAAUCACAAAUCAUAGAUAUAUCCAUUGCAUAUUCUAACACAAUUUAAACAGAUUCACCGGCAUUUUGCCUGCUAGGCUUAAAGCCUGAUUCAGUACACCGGCACUUAGCCUGCUAGACAUAUAGUCUGAAAUGUAUCACCGGCAUUAAGCCUGCUAGACAUAUAGUCUGAAAUGUAUCACCGGCAUUAAGCCUGCUAGACUUAAAGUCUGAAAUGUAUCACCGGCAUUAAGCCUGCUAGACUUAAAGUCUGAAUUACUUCACCGGCAUUAAGCCUGCUAGACGUAACGUCUGUAUUACAUUCAAUCACUUUAUAAUAAUUCAAACUAACAAUUUCAUAUCUUCACUACCAUUCAAAAACUUUUACGUGAAUAUACAUACAAAAUCGAAACUUUCACAUACAUAUAUAAUUCCAUACCAAAUUUCGAUUCAAGAAUUUAUACAUGUGCAUUUAUACAUAUUCGAAUCUACCAUAUGAAUGUAUAAUUUCAUACUCAAUUUCAAAACAAAAACUUGUACAUAUAUAAAUGCACAAUCAAUCCUCGCAUACUUAUAUAAUGACAUAACUAAAUUCAAUACACAACACAUACAUGUAUACUUGCAUGCUUAUUCGACUUUAUAUAUAUAUAUAUAUACAUACUUAUAUAAUCAUUCAAACCAUAUAUAUAUACCUAUAUCUUAUACAUACCUUUGAUUAAUCCAAUAAUUUAUACAAGAUCAUACUUGUAUAUUCGAACAUGUUAUAUACAAUAUCUAUAGUCCAAAGUUUAUUCAACUAUUAUACUUUAAAUUAUAGCUCAAUCAUAAGAUAAAAUUAGUAUGCAUGUAUAAAUAUUAACUUAAUAACUUUUAGUUGCUAAUAGACUUACCUCGGAUAUCAGCAAACACGAUCGACUAUUCGAUUUCCUUCGACUUCCCCCGAUCCAAAUUCGUUUUCUUCGUUCCUUGAUCUAAACAUAGUCAAAUUUAACCUUUUUAUUCAUCAAAACAUUCAUUUGAGUCCAACAAUACAUAAAUGGGAAAAUUACCAUUUUGCCCCUAACAUUUUGCACUUUUUGCAAUUUAGUCCUUUUUGCACAAAACACAAAAUACACAAAAUUUGCCCUUAACACACAAGGGACGAAUAUUCAUGGUUCUCAUACAAGUCCACACAUUGCAUUUAUUUCACAUUUUAGUCCCUCAAAAAUUUAUUUUCACAAUUUAGCCCUAAAUACUCAAAUUCAUCAAAAAUCCCAAGACAAAACAUGUUAAUCUAAGACAUAUCUUCCAUUAUUCAUCAUCAAACAUCACAAAACACAAAUAUUCAUCAAUGGCAUAACUCAAAAUAUUCAUUAAAAUUAGAAAUUCAAGCAUGGGUCGGGUAGUAUUCAAAGCAACGAUCUCAAAAACGUAAAAAUUAUCAAAAACCGAAACCAAAGCAUACCUUAAUUUUGCUAUGAAAGUGCCGAAACUUAAGAAACCAUGGAUGGUUUCUUCCUUUCCAAUAUUCGGCUAACAAAGAUGAACAUAUUCAUCUUUUUAUGACUUAUUUUAGUUAUAAUAUUAUAAUUUACUUAAUGACUAAAUUAACCUUAAUUAAAUAAAUUAUAAAUUACAUAACUUAAGGGCAAUGUUGGCAUAUACCACCCACUAACUAAAUCUUGGUCUAAUUACAUCUUUAGACCUCCCACUUAAAAAGACAACUACAAAUAGGUGCUUUUAAAUUUUAACCUUUAACUUUUAUUUUACGCGAUUAAACCCUUUUAUUAAAUCGGACACUUAAACGACGAAAUUAAAACACGAAAAUUUUACACAAUCAAAUGCACACGAAAUAAACACACAAAAUAAUAUUAAUAAUAUUUUUCUAAUUCAGAUUUGUGGUCCCGAAACUACUAUUCUGAUUAGGGUCAAAACCGGGUUGUUACAUUCAAGCCAUCAUCCUAGCUCCCUGAAAUUGUAGUAGAAUAGGCUUAAUAUAGCAGAUCUCAUCUCCAGUCGAGCAGAUAGAAGAAAACAAGCCUUAACCCCCUAAGUAGUAGGGCAACAGGCCGAAGACUGCAAGAUCUUGUCUCCCUGAAGUUAUAGUAGAGCAGAUCGAAGUCACAAUCCUUAUCUCUCUGAAGUUCCAGUAGAGUAGGAUAAAAACACACGAACCAUGUCUCCCUGAAGUUACAGUGGAGCAUAUUGAAGUUAUUUGAAGAAAAGAAGCACCGAAAAAGUCAUGAUUCAGUGAAACUGGGCAAAAUUGGCCCUUUUUGAAGUCCUUGCUCUAUUCUCGUUACACGACAAUAAGCAAAGAGGGGCAGCUGUAAGCAGGCCAAUUUGCCCAGCCCAUUGCAAACACAAAACAAUAAAUAUAAAACCCAAAUAAAACUUAAAUCCUAUAACAGUCCAUUUACAGGCUUUGACCCAAACAAAUACCCUAUACAAGCCCAAAUCAACCAUUUACAAAUAAGCCCGAGCCCAAAUACAAUAGGCCCAAGUGGCCAAAAUUUAAAGCAAGCAAAAAACCCUAGCCUAAUGCUUGCGCCUCAACCGGACAAUACCUCCGUACGAUGCCAGCGCCUCAACCCCAGCGCCGCUCGUGCCUCCACGUCGACAGCCCCGUAUGCCACCCUCACGCCUAGUGCCAGCACGCGCCCCUACCUGUGAAAGAGAACAAGAGAAUAGCAGCCAGUAGGAGAACAAAAAUUGUUGUUUUUUUUGUUUUGUUAGUCGGCUAUAAAGCCUUUCAUUUUCAAUUGUAAGGGCUCUUCUUUUUUUAUGAACAUAAGCAAUACAAAGUAACAGAAAGAAAAGGUGAUUCCUACUCUUGAGUUUCUGGGUUUAUCACGCUUUAUUCUCGAUCUAUCCCCUUUGAUUUUCUUUCUCUUUUCUUGUAUCUAAAAAUAAAAGAAUAAAGGGAAACAAUACCUUACCUUGUAAGUUAG